CAGUGGGUUUCUGAGCAUGCACCAAGCUGAGACAGACGAGCAGCUCGACUUAGUCAAUAAUAUGCUGGAUAAAGUGCUGAAUCUAGAGAAUCCUCUGACACAACUGGAGAGUCCGGAAGAGGCAUUCCCUUUGCCACUGGCAGCCAGCAUUGAAGCCACGAUGGACAUGAGGAUUGAGAUUGGUCAGGAUGACCUGUUGAUCUCUGUCAUUCCAAACUGAGAGUUGACUGCGUGGCAAAUGGAGCGGCCAUCCAGCACCUUACCAUCUGUCUGGAUUGAGUUUCUUCUGCUGCAUCAGAGCUUUCAUAGAAGAAGAAGAAGACGGUGGACUGGACUGUUUGGAAUUUGCCACCACCUUGAACCUUGGAGCAGUGAGGCUUUCUCUGGCAAAACUGGUCCAAACUGGAGCAUCCCUUAUCUGGGAUUCCCAAACUCUCCAAAAUAGUCCCCAUCAGCGGCAUCAUUGCUUUCUGAUGCUUCUGUGGGCACAACUUUUGUUUCAAGCUGUUAGGUAUGAAACAGUCCUGAUAUAUGUAUAAGAAGUAGGGUUGUGUUUUCCGUUUGGGGUUCCAAAAGAUCUGUCUUCUAUCGGACCAUUAUGGGGAGGGGCUUCCCACCCAGGCUCCCCUUUCCAGCACUCGCUUUAAGGAGACUUCUUACCUUCUACUCUAGAUGAGGCGCUCGGCUGCAGGCACUGGCAG